AUUGCCUCAGUAACGGCGAGUGAAGCGGCAACAGCUCAAAUUUGAAAUCUGGCUCCUUCGGGGUCCGAGUUGUAAUUUGCAGAGGAUGCUUCGGGUACGGGUUCCUUCCGAGUUCCCUGGAACGGGACGCCAUAGAGGGUGAGAGCCCCGUCUGGUAGGACACCCAGCCCGUGUGAAGCUCCCUCGACGAGUCGAGUAGUUUGGGAAUGCUGCUCUAACGGGAGGUAUACUCCUUCCAAGGCUAAAUACCGGCUGGAGACCGAUAGCGCACAAGUAGAGUGAUCGAAAGAUGAAAAGCACUUUGAAAAGAGAGUCAAAUAGCACGUGAAAUUGUUGAAAGGGAAGCGCUCGCUACCAGACAUGGGUUCGGCGGUUCAACCGGGGCCACGCCCCGGGGCACUCCGCCGGCCCAGGCCAGCAUCAGCUUUCCGUCGGGGGCAAAGGCGUCGGGAAUGUGGCUCUCCUUCGGGGGAGUGUUAUAGCCCGGCGUGUCAUACCCUUCGGGGGGCUGAGGUACGCGCUUCUGCAAGGAUGCUGGCGUAAUGGUAGCUAGUGACCCGUCUUGAAACACGGACCCCUGUGUGAAAUUG
rnacentral:rRNA from 1 species